UCCUCUUUGACACUUAAAGCUGCAAUUGAGGACAUGCUUAUGGUAUACAAUUUGAGCUUUGCAAUGGCCCGUGGGCAAGGAUAUGAUGGGACUAGUAAUAUGAAAGGUAAUGCUAAUGGCCUGAAGAAACUAAUUAUGGAUGAGUCUCCUUAUGCCUAUUAUGUCCAUUGCUUUGCCCAUCAACUACAAUUAACUCUUGUUGCUAUUGCAAAGGAGAGUGGUGACUGUAAUUGGUUCUUUCAACAUCUGGCAUGUUUGCUAAAUGUUCUAGGCUAUUCUUGUAAAAAGAUGAGAAUGCUUCGAAUAGCUCAAGCUGAGGAACUUAUUGCUGCAUUAGAGUUGGAAGAAGUAGAAACCGGGACGGGUUUGAAUCAAGAAAUGGGUAUUGGAAGGCCAUGUGAUACUCGUUGGGGCUCUCACUGCAAGACUGUCAGCCAUGUUAUCUCUAUGUAUCCGGCAAUAAGGUGUGUUCUCAUAAGGAUUGCAAAAGAGUAUAAUGGCAUAGAGGCAGUAGCAGCAAUGACUAUGUUGACAUCAUUUCGGACAUUUGAAUUUGUUUUCAUGGCACACUUGAUGCAAGAAAUAUUUGAAUACACCGAUGACUUGAGUAGAGCUUUGCAAAAGAAAGAUCAAGAUAUUGUUAAUGCUAUGGAGGUUGUUGAUCUCACAAAGCUGCACUUGCAAUGCUUGCGAGAAGAUGAAGGAUGGAAUGAUUUUCUUGAGAAUGUCACUUCUUUUUGUGUAAAGCACAAGAUCAAAGUUGGUGACAUGGAGGCUCCUUACUAUCCUACUGGGAGACCAAGAAGAGGGUUCUUCAAUGGCGCAAAGAAUUACCAACGUUUCAAGGUUGAAAUGUUUGUGGGUGUCAUUGAUAGGCAACUUCAAGAGCUGAAUGCAAGAUUUGAUGAGGUAAACACUGAACUACUUACUUGCAUGGCAGCAUUCAGUCCACGUGAUUCAUUUGCUGCUUAUGAUAAAGAGAAGUUGGUUAGGCUUGCUAGAAAGUUUUAUGCUAAGGAUUUCACAAAUGAUGAAUUGUCAAGACUUCCAUGGCAAUUAAGCAUGUUCAUUUCUCAUGUGCGUAAGGAUAAAAGGUUUAGCAAGUUGAAGAGUCUAUGUGAGCUUUUAGUUUUGAUGGUUGAGACAAGAAAGAAUGAACAAUAUUAUAUAGUUUACAAACUUCUUAAGUUGGUUCUCAUUCUUCCGGUAGCCACUGCUAGCGUUGAGAGGGUAUUUUCCUUGAUGAAAUACGUGAAGAAUUCACUAAGAAACAAAAUGGGUGAUGAAUAUUUGAACAAUUGCUUGGUUACAUUCGUUGAGAGAGAAUUCUUCAGGCAAGUGAAAGACGAGGAUGUCAUCAAUCUCUUCCAGAAAGGGGAUCGUAAAGUUAUAUUGUAA
rnacentral:rRNA from 1 species